rnacentral:rRNA from 1 species
AGAAUGAACGCUGGCGGCGUGCUUACACAUGCAAGUCGAACGAGAAAGCCGAAAGCUUGCUUUUGGCGAGUAGAGUGGCGCACGGGUGAGUAACGCGUGGGUAAUCUGCCUUCGAACCGGGGAUAACACUUCGAAAGGGGUGCUAAUACCGGAUGACAUCCAGGUGUCUUCGGGCGUCUGGAUCAAAGAUGGCCUCUCCAUGGAAGCUGUUGUUCGAAGAUGAGCCCGCGUCCCAUUAGCUUGUUGGUGGGGUAAAGGCCCACCAAGGCGACGAUGGGUAGCUGGUCUGAGAGGAUGAUCAGCCACACUGGCACUGACACACGGGCCAGACUCCUACGGGAGGCAGCAGUGAGGAAUUUUGCGCAAUGGGGGUAACCCUGACGCAGCAACGCCGCGUGAGUGAAGAAGGCCUUCGGGUCGUAAAGCUCUGUCGAGUGGGAAGAACCCGCAUCAGGUGACAAGGCUGAUGCGCUGACGGUACCACUGGAGGAAGCACCGGCUAACUCCGUGCCAGCAGCCGCGGUAAUACGGAGGGUGCAAGCGUUAUUCGGAAUUACUGGGCGUAAAGGGCGCGCAGGCGGCCUGGUAAGUCAGUAGUGAAAGCCCGGGGCUCAACCCCGGAAGUGCUGCUGAAACUGUUGGGCUUGAGUAUGGUAGAGGGAAGCGGAAUUCCUGGUGUAGCGGUGAAAUGCGUAGAUAUCAGGAGGAACACCGGUGGCGAAGGCGGCUUCCUGGACCAAUACUGACGCUGAGGCGCGAAGGCGUGGGUAGCAAACAGGAUUAGAUACCCUGGUAGUCCACGCAGUAAACGGUGAUCACUAGGUGUUGCGGGUAUUGAUACUUGCAGUGCCGGAGCUAACGCAUUAAGUGAUCCGCCUGGGGAGUACGGCCGCAAGGUUAAAACUCAAAGGAAUUGACGGGGGCCCGCACAAGCGGUGGAGCAUGUGGUUUAAUUCGACGCAA